GAUGAACGCUGGCGGCGCGCCUAACACAUGCAAGUCGAACGGUUAAAGCCCCUUCGGGGGUGCAUAAAGUGGCGAACGGCUGAGUAACACGUGGGCAACCUGCCCCUCGCACCGGGACAGCCUCGGGAAACCGUGGUUAAUACCGGAUACUCCCGCGCCCCCGCAUGGGGGCGCGGGGAAAGCCCAGACGGCGAGGGAUGGGCCCGCGGCCUGUUAGCUCGUUGGCGGGGUAACGGCCCACCAAGGCGAUGAUGGGUAGCCGGGUUGAGAGACCGACCGGCCAGAUUGGGACUGAGACACGGCCCAGACUCCUACGGGAGGCAGCAGUGGGGAAUCUUGCGCAAUGGGCGGAAGCCUGACGCAGCGACGCCGCGUGCGGGAAGGAGGCCUUCGGGUCGUAAACCGCUUUCAGCAGGGACGAGGCCGCGAGGUGACGGUACCUGCAGAAGAAGCCCCGGCUAACUACGUGCCAGCAGCCGCGGUAAUACGUAGGGGGCAAGCGUUAUCCGGAUUCAUUGGGCGUAAGGCGCGCGUAGGCGGCCUGUUAGGUCGGGAGUCAAAUCCGGGGGCUCAACCCCCGCCCGCUCCCGAUACCGGCGGGCUUGAGUCUGGCAGGGGAAGGCGGAAUUCCAAGUGUAGCGGUGGAAUGCGCAGAUAUUUGGAAGAACACCGGUGGCGAAGGCGGCCUUCUGGGCCACGACUGACGCUGAGGCGCGAAAGCUAGGGGAGCGAACAGG
rnacentral:rRNA from 1 species